ensembl:lncRNA
AAGAUUGUGACAAGGAGUUAUUCUUGUUGACCAGGCUAACGCACCUGCUGGCUGCUGGUCUCUGGAUGGUGUUGGUCUUUGUUUGAGUGACUAAAGACAGGCAGAGCCAGCUCAGAGCAGGACGAGCUCCUGAGGAACAUGUGCUUUGAGACAGCGCCGAGCGGCUUUGUCCUCAUCUCUCCGGUUCUCUUAAACAGCUGCUAUCAGCCACAGAAAGCGUGA